rnacentral:rRNA from 1 species
UACGUAGGGCGCAGGCGUUAUCCGGAAUUAUUGGGCGUAAAGAGCUCGUAGGCGGCUUGUCACGUCGGGUGUGAAAGCCCGGGGCUUAACCCCGGGUCUGCAUUCGAUACGGGCAGGCUAGAGUGUGGUAGGGGAGAUCGGAAUUCCUGGUGUAGCGGUGAAAUGCGCAGAUAUCAGGAGGAACACCGGUGGCGAAGGCGGAUCUCUGGGCCAUUACUGACGCUGAGGAGCGAAAGCGUGGGGAGCGAACAGG